rnacentral:tRNA from 1 species
GCUCAGGUGGUGGAAUGGUAGACACGCUACUUUGAGGUGGUAGUGCCUUUUUGGUGUGGGGGUUCAAGUCCCCCCCUGAGCA